CAAAAGUGUUGGACACUUUGAAGUGAGAACGUGAACGCGUACAAAAGACCCACACGCGGGGACUAAGUGAACCAGGUAUCAUAAAAGGCGAGUAAGGGAGAGCGAGGGAUGGGCACCAGCAUCCCUUUUAAAACAUCUCCAAAGCCUAAAUGCGAUUGCUAAUCCGCUUGUCAAGCGUGGCAACUACUGGCAAAAUCUCUCUAGGAGGAGGCUUAUCUUCAGAAGUGGACAGUUAAAGGCUGGUUAUGUUGUCGUGUCGGUUCGGAAAUGCUGCUGCUGGAAGUUGAUUCCAAAGAAUGGUUGUGCGUGGAAGAAAGUGCCUUGAAAAACGCUCGGUGGAAGACCGCUACUCGUCCAGAUGAUUGGGGUGAAACUUUAGUUUGUGGCGGGUUGUACGGUGGUGAAAAUCAGCAGCAGGUAUCAAUCCGAACAAUUCCUCAGAACACUCCCCAUGAUAAAUUCGGUAGAAGAUGCACAGAGUUGCAACAUCUCUGCGCAGUUUCAGUUGGUCAAGUCGGACAGUAAGGCGCUAAUCAUCAAUACUUCGAGCCGGCCGAAUUUGAUUGCGGUCUAACGGAAGGAGUUGGUACUGUGGCGCUCCUGCCCACAGAUGAGAACAGUAUUCCAUAUGCAGCCUGACUUGGGCUUUAUAUAAUUUCAGGCGGUGUUCUGGCAUGAAAUAUCGAAUUAGGUUUGAUGUGCCAGCUGACCCGUUUACAUCUUCACCAAUCAUUCCUCACCGAUGCCAGCGUUCAUAACGUCCAAGAUGAAUAUUAUGCUUGUGUUAGAAAGUCUGCGAAAAAUUGCUUUCAGGGCAUUUCUAGAUAUCAAGCCUAAUUUUAUCUUUUAUCAUUCCUUACUGGUACUUAGCGUUAUACCAAAAUAUACCGAUAGCACAGGCAGGGUUAUCAUUCCAUUGUUAUCCAUAAAAAAGCAUACUUCUUUAAAAGUUAUAAAUCAAACUUGACUGUAAAAUUUUGACCUUAUAAAAUAUAUAACCAUUUUACCAGAGAUUCACCACCUAACCAAUUUUGAUACUUUUUCUGACAUUUAAAAUAUUUAUUAUGUGUAUAUUUAAUAUAGUAAUAGGGUAAUAAAAUAAAACAAGCAUAUAAAGAUUUAAUAUUGGACUAAUAUUUAGUAAAAUACCAUAUUAUAAUAAUAAAAUUCAUAUAAAAAUUCAAGUAUUUCAAUUUUAAACAAUACCUACGAACUUGUGGGAUCGGCGUCAACGCGUUUAUACAAGGAGAUCUCACAUAAACAGUCCACGAUUCGUCGUGUUAACUUUUUAACGGCGACAAAAAGUCGCUCGUGUGCGUCGAGCUGUUAUCUGAAAACCUAACUUAGCACAAACGCAAUACAAAGGGAAAUCGUAAAAAGAUAACAUUUCGAGGUUUACGUUGGAGGCAGCGGCUUGUGACU